UACGAAGGGUGCAAGCGUUACUCGGAAUUACUGGGCGUAAAGCGUGCGUAGGUGGUGAGUUAAGUCUGUCGUGAAAGCCCCGGGCUCAACCUGGGAAUGGCGAUGGAUACUGGCUCGCUAGAGUGCGGUAGAGGAGAGUGGAAUUCCCGGUGUAGCAGUGAAAUGCGUAGAGAUCGGGAGGAACAUCAGUUGCGAAGGCGGCUCUCUGGACCAGCACUGACACUGAGGCACGAAGGCGUGGGGAGCAAACAGG
rnacentral:rRNA from 1 species